ensembl:scaRNA predicted gene, 26039
AACAGGACCCAGAAGGCUGAGGCCGAUGAAGUAAGAUUUUGCUGACACACUCCUAGGAAAAAAAGAGCUGGAGAGACAAGUCCUAUUGGGGUGGGGGGGAUCACAGGGCUAACUGUAUUACCCAACAUUA